AUUGAACGCUGGCGGCAGGCUUAACACAAGCAAGUCGAGCGGAGAUGAGGUGCUUGCACCUUAUCUUAGCGGCGGACGGGUGAGUAAUGCUUAGGAAUCUGCCUAUUAGUGGGGGACAACAUUCCGAAAGGAAUGCUAAUACCGCAUACGUCCUACGGGAGAAAGCAGGGGAUCUUCGGACCUUGCGCUAAUAGAUGAGCCUAAGUCGGAUUAGCUAGUUGGUGGGGUAAAGGCCUACCAAGGCGACGAUCUGUAGCGGGUCUGAGAGGAUGAUCCGCCACACUGGGACUGAGACACGGCCCAGACUCCUACGGGAGGCAGCAGUGGGGAAUAUUGGACAAUGGGGGGAACCCUGAUCCAGCCAUGCCGCGUGUGUGAAGAAGGCCUUAUGGUUGCAAAGCACUUUAAGCGAGGAGGAGGCUACUGAGACUAAUACUCUUGGAUAGUGGACGUUACUCGCAGAAUAAGCACCGGCUAACUCUGUGCCAGCCGCCGCCGUAAAAC
rnacentral:rRNA from 1 species